CGUUGUCGUCCAUGCACAAGGGUCUUGGCAAUGUUAACGCAAGUGGGGGAUUAGUAAAAUGAAGGACUGCAAUGUUUUCAGGCACCAAAUCUCUGUAUUUCUGUCCGUUUAUGUUACCCAGCAGAAUAUGAAAACCCAGCUUAUCACGUUAUAAGAAGCAACCCCGUACUGGAACACCACCAGCACUCAAUGCAGUCCUUGUGCAAACAUUGUUAUAGUCAUAGGCCGUUUUGUUUCCCGCGAAAUUCGUAUUAUGGCGUCUACUGGCAGUAAAAGAAACUGACUCGCAUCUGAUCAAUGAGUGUUUGGUCAUCUUUUUAUGUUCAAGCAUAGAUAGUCAUUAUGGCAUUGAAACCUGACGGUAGAGUGCCUGCCUGUAGGUCUCUAUACACCACGACAUACUCUUCGAUUGCCUCUAUGAAGUCGACGGACAAAUUUAGGAACACUAACGCGACCACCUGGAGAAACAGGGUAUUUGUAAACG
rnacentral:lncRNA from 1 species